UGUAUAUAUAUAUAUAUAUAUAUGUAUUAGUUAAUUUAUAUUUUGUCUACUGUGUCUAUCUCAUCCAUCCAUGUUUGUGUUAUAUAUUUCUCUCUGCAUACAUGUGUGUGUGUGUGUAUGUAUGUAUAUAUAUAUAUAUAUAUAUAUAUAUAUAUAUAUAUAUAUAUAUAUAUAUAUAUAUAUAUA